UACGUAGGGUGCGAGCGUUGUCCGGAAUUAUUGGGCGUAAAGAGCUUGUAGGUGGCUCGUCGCGUCGGGAGUGAAAACCCGCGGCUUAACCACGGGCCUGCUUUCGAUACGGGCGGGCUAGAGUUCGGCAGGGGAGACUGGAAUUCCUGGUGUAGCGGUGGAAUGCGCAGAUAUCAGGAGGAACACCGGUGGCGAAGGCGGGUCUCUGGGCCGAUACUGACACUGAGAAGCGAAAGCGUGGGGAGCGAACAGG
rnacentral:rRNA from 1 species